rnacentral:rRNA from 1 species
UACAGAGGUCUCAAGCGUUGUUCGGAUUCAUUGGGCGUAAAGGGUGCGUAGGCGGCGCGGUAAGUCGGGUGUGAAAUCUUGGAGCUUAACUCCGAAACUGCAUUCGAUACUGCCGUGCUUGAGGACUGGAGAGGAGACUGGAAUUUACGGUGUAGCGGUGAAAUGCGUAGAUAUCGUAAGGAAGACCAGUGGCGAAGGCGGGUCUCUGGACAGUUCCUGACGCUGAGGCACGAAGGCCAGGGGAGGCAAACGGG